AGCAGUCGCCGCGGUAAAACGGAGGAUCCAAGCGUUAUCCGGAUUUAUUGGGUUUAAAGGGUGCGUAGGCGGCUUAUUAAGUCAGGGGUGAAAGGCGGUAGCUUAACUAUCGGAGUGCCCUUGAUACUGAUGAGCUUGAAUGCAGCUGAGGUAGGCGGAAUGUGACAAGUAGCGGUGAAAUGCAUAGAUAUGUCACAGAACACCGAUUGCGAAGGCAGCUUACUAAAGUGCGAUUGACGCUGAGGCACGAAAGCGUGGGGAUCAAACAGGAUUAGAUACCCCCGUAGUCCCUGUCUCUUAUAC
rnacentral:rRNA from 1 species